GCGGGAGCUGCGGGAGCCGCGCCGUCGGAGCGCCUGCUUGCCGCUGGGUGUCCGAGGGGCCGAGCGUCGUGCCCAGCCUUGGGGACUGCUUGUCAAGUACAAACCGGGACUAUGCUGAGAACCGAGAUUCAACUUGCCAUUCCACAUCACUUGAGGAAUUCUCUUUAGGCUUCCACCUUUACUGAAGGCUGUCAAGCUCCCUGUGAGUUUAUCGAAGACAGUGUUCCUAGGCAAUUCUGCUGCCUAAUCAACUGCUUCUAACGCCUUGGAAUAUUAUUCACGUUUGCUAUUUGCCUGGAUGAGACAGUAUUGUAUUUACUGGACUUCUGAGGAAAAUUCCAACCCAGGUUAUGGCCAGGAGGAAGACUGAUGGACAAGUACAUCUAACCCUAAGCAGCAGUCCCAGAUGAGGCUCUUUGAGCUCUUCUGGGCCACAGAAGCUGCCCCAGCACCUGCCUCCCAUUGCAGCACCUUGUGGAACUCAGCAAUUUUGCAGUGUACAACACUCGGGCUGCCAAAAUCUGGCAUUAGGGUCUGGGUUGAUACUCCCCUCCUCCAAGCUCAACCUUCACCUGGUGAGAGGUGCAAAGGCAUUCGACAUGAGGUGAAUUUUACUUGAGAUAAAUUUUCAACAGUUAUAGACCUCUGUACAUACUUCUUUGUACUUGUAUGCAUGCAGGGAUUGAUUUAAACAUGAU